rnacentral:rRNA from 1 species
UUCCUGUACUUGGUGUUACUGCGAAGGGGGGACGGAGAAGGCUAUGUUGGCCGGGCGACGGUUGUCCCGGUUUAAGCGUGUAGGCUGGUUUUCCAGGCAAAUCCGGAAAAUCAAGGCUGAGGCGUGAUGACGAGGCACUACGGUGCUGAAGCAACAAAUGCCCUGCUUCCAGGAAAAGCCUCUAAGCAUCAGGUAACAUCAAAUCGUACCCCAAACCGACACAGGUGGUCAGGUAGAGAAUACCAAGGCGCUUGAGAGAACUCGGGUGAAGGAACUAGGCAAAAUGGUGCCGUAACUUCGGGAGAAGGCACGCUGAUAU